rnacentral:rRNA from 1 species
AGUGAACGCUGGCGGUAGGCCUAACACAUGCAAGUCGAGCGGAUGCAGGGUGAUUGCUUCUGGAUUCAGCGGCGGAGUGGUGAACAGUGGCGAAAUAUAUCCGUUGCUACGGUUGAGAAGGUCCUGAAGCGGGCGCUCAUACGGCAUACGCUCUGAGGGAGUACGGGGGGGAUCCUGGGAUCUUCCGCCAUUAGGUGAUCGUAGGUCGGGUUAGCUAGUUUGUGGGGUAAAGGCCUACCAAGGCGACGAUCCGUCACUCGUCUGAGAGGAUGAUCAGCCACACUGGAACUGAGACACGGUCCAGACUCCUACGGGAGGCAGCAGUGGGGAAUAUUGGACAAUGGGCGCAAGCCUGAUCCAGCCAUGCCGCGUGGGUGAAGAAGGUCUUCGGAUUGUAAAGCACUUUAGUUUGGAAAGAAAAGCAGUAGGUUAAUACCUUGCUGUUCUGACGGUACCAACAGAAUAAGCACCGGCUAACUUCGUG